rnacentral:rRNA from 1 species
GACGAACGCUGGCGGCGUGCUUCACACAUGCAAGUCGAACGGAACUUUCGGGUUCAGUGGCGAACGGGUGAGUAUCACGUGAGUAACCUGCCUCGGAGACUGGGAUAACAGUGGGAAACUGCUGCUAAUACCGGAUGUGCCCGUGCUGUCGCAUGGUGGUGCGGGGAAAUGCUUUUGUGCUUCGGGAGGGGCUCGCGGCCUAUCAGCUUGUUGGUGGGGUGAUGGCCUACCAAGGCUUCGACGGGUAGCUGGUCUGAGAGGACGAUCAGCCACACUGGGACUGAGACACGGCCCAGACUCCUACGGGAGGCAGCAGUGGGGAAUCUUGCGCAAUGGGCGGAAGCCUGACGCAGCAACGCCGCGUGGGGGAUGAAGGCCUUCGGGUUGUAAACCUCUUUCGGACAGGGACGAUUGUGACGGUACCUGUGGAAGAAGCUCCGGCCAACUACGUGCCAGCCGCCGCCGUAAGAC